rnacentral:lncRNA from 1 species
AGAGCCCCAGAGGCAGAGCUGCCCAGGGCUUUGGGAGCCCACUCCUUGCAUCACUGUGCCCUGGAUGUGAGACAUGGAAUCAAGGAGAUUAUUUUGGAGCUUUAAGAGGUAAUGGCACCCUGCUGGGUUUCAGACUUGAGUGGGGCCUGUAGCCUCUUUCUUUUGGCCGAUUUCUCCCUUUUGGAAUGGGAGUAUUUACCCAAUGCCUGUACCCCCAUGAUGUGUCCCCUUCCUCCACCACAAGACUGUAAGUUUCCUGGAGCCUCCCCAGAAGCUGAGCAGAAGCUGCUAUGCUUCCUGUUCAGCCUGCAGAACCGCCACUUCCAGCAUCGAUGGUGUCAGGUCAGGUCCCCUGGGUAGAAGAAAUGGAGUCAGUUAGGAGUGCUGGAGACUGAGUAAGAGAUGGCAGCUGAGGCUUUACUACCCCAGGGAGGGGAUGCCACCAGAGAAGGCAGACAACCAAGAUGGCAACUCUCAAUUUUUGUGC